GGUUGCUAGGGGCGCUCGGAACCGGAGGUUUGUGGAAAGAGUUCUUUUUAUUGGGGAGGUGUGAACCGCCCUAAGACUGGCAAUCGGAAGACCUUGUACGGAGAGUUGGGUGCCGGAACUCUGGUUUGACAGGCUCCUUGCCGGCUCCAGUAAUCCUCCCUAAAGUACGUUGGUCUCGUUUUUCUCCGCGCCAUGUACCCGCCCAGCCUUUCGCGGAAUUCCGGGCUCUUCCGGCUCUGGCGCGGUCUUCUUCAAGGCUCUGGGUGGAGAGCUCCAGGAUUCGCCGUGGGAGGUGAAGCGAAGCGCUGUGGGCGAGUCCAUUCGCUUCUGACUAGCCUGCCUAUCGCGUGGUCCGUUUGAGGAAAGUUGGUGCGUUUUAGUCAGGGAAGAAGUCUCCAAGUUGCCACCUGGUCAAGGUAAUUUUACCAGCGCUUCCUUCUACUCCUUGCCCUCCCCGCUCCUCCCCGCGCCCUUCCCGGUACUGGUUUUAGAUCUGCUCUCGCAGAGCCUUGGAUCCGGGAUUCGUACGGCUCACUGCUUUUUCUGUUAUUCAUGGAGAAUUUAGCUCACGGUGCCGCCUUUUUGUGCUUCGUGCUCCCUGCUUCCCUUCCCUAAAGCUAGGAGAGCAAUUUCACAGCUUCAGAGAAAGGCUAUAAAUGAACUAUCUGUUCGGGAAAGAGAGCCAGUUAAGCCAUUUGAUGGGCAGUGUAUUACUGACUGAAAGGGAAACGCCAGGGUUCCAUUCCAGCCAAUGUGAUGCCACUGGUCAAGUCUUAACUUCUCCAGGCGGCCCUGUAUCUCUCAAGAAAAGUUCGUAUUUGGUCCUAGAUUAGGUUUGUGAAUGACCAAAGCAUUUCAGUCGUGGGGGGAAUGUAGAAAUACUCCUUUCGGGUAUUGAGAUCUGUUUUUCCCAUCAUUUAUGUCCUACGUUCCUAAAUUCAGCAGGAAUAUCGUUUUGUGGUCCCUAGCCAAUCAGAUGUUUGACACUAAAGAAACCGAGAAGCUCCAAGUAGCAAUCCUCAGGAAUCUGUUAGAUUUCUGAGAAAAGAACAGUAUGCUUUAGGUUUCCGGUCUACUAAUGUGGCCUUUCUGCUGAAAAAUGCCAGUUAAGGGGCGCCUGCGUGGUUCAGUGGGUUAAAGCCCCAGCCUUCCGCUCAGGUCCUGAUCUCAGGGUCCUGGGAUCCACCCCUGCACCGGGUGCUCUGCUCAGCAGGGAGCCUGCUUCCCUCUCUAUCUCUGCCUGCUGCUCUGCCUACUUGUGAUCUCUCACUCUGUCAAAAAAAAAAAAAAAAAAAAAGAAAGAAAGAAAGAAAGAGAAAAAUGCCAGUUAAAUUCAUUGUUCCUGCUCUUUCAAAGUUAUUUUGAAAUUAAUGUAUAGUAACUGUGUACCUACGUAGGUAUUACAUUUAAGCCUAUGUAGCUACUUGAGCAUAAUAAUAUUUUCUGAACACUCAGGGAUGCAAGGUGCUCUGCAGCCCCGACUAAUACCAGGUAUCGUGGUGAAUGUCUCACGAAAUCACUUGAAGUGGAAUCUCCUCUGGGUGGAGUUUGGUUAUUUGGUUGGUUGGUUUGGGUUAUUUUUAUAAACUUGACAAAAGUUUGUUGGUCACAACUUUUUUAGGUGACAUACUGAGAGAUGAGAAGGACUAUUUCUUCCUGGACAAAUGCAGAUCACUUGGACAUUAAUUAAAGUUCCGCAAAUGGUGGAGAAAAGAAAGUCAUUAAAAAAAAAAAACUAAAAAUAUUUUUUUUAAAAAGUUCCGCAUUCACCCACAAAAUGAGAGCUCUCAAAUAUUUUGGUACUUCUUUGCACAUUUUUUCA